rnacentral:rRNA from 1 species
AAUGGGCGCAAGCCUGAUCCAGCCAUGCCGCGUGAGUGAUGAAGGCCCUAGGGUCGUAAAGCUCUUUCGCCUGUGAAGAUAAUGACGGUAGCAGGUAAAGAAACCCCGGCUAACUCCGUGCCAGCAGCCGCGGUAAUACGGAGGGGGUUAGCGUUGUUCGGAAUUACUGGGCGUAAAGCGCGCGUAGGCGGACUAUUAAGUCAGAGGUGAAAUCCCGGGGCUCAACCCCGGAACUGCCUUUGAUACUGGUAGUCUUGAGUUCGAGAGAGGUAAGUGGAAUUCCGAGUGUAGAGGUGAAAUUCGUAGAUAUUCGGAGGAACACCAGUGGCGAAGGUGGCUUACUGGCUCGAUACUGACGCUGAGGUGCGAAAGUGUGGGGAGCAAACAGGAUU